GUCUCUGUAACGCAAUGGAUAACGUGUUGAACUUCUAAUCCGAGGGUCGUGGGUUCGAAUUCCACCUGGGGUG